GACGAACGCUGGCGGCGUGCUUAACACAUGCAAGUCGAGCGAGAAACCCUCUUCGGAGGGGAGUACAGCGGCGAACGGGUGAGUAACACGUGGGCAACCUGCCCCAACGGAGGCGGGACGAACCCGGGGAAACCCGGGCGUAACUACCGCAUGAUUCGUGGUGCCUCAAGGCACCUCGGUAAAUGGUAGCUUCGGCCUCCGCCUUGGGAUGGGCCCGCGGCGCAUUAGCUUGUUGGUGAGGUAAGGGCUCACCAAGGCGACGAUGCGUAGCUGGUCUGAGAGGACGAUCAGCCACACUGGGACUGAGACACGGCCCAGACU
rnacentral:rRNA from 1 species